GGGCAAUCACAGAGGGAUAUAGGUGUCUAUACAAACUGCACUUCUUUAACCUCAGAGGAAUCUUUCCCAUCUCCACCAUGCCGAUGAAAUGACGGCUUCUCCAGGCAUGUGGGUGAAUAGAAUUGUACUGCACAUCUUUCUUGUGGUGCUAUCUCUGGAUGUCUGUCAGGUUUAUGAAAAUGUGACUGGGAACUGUACUGUUGAACUUCAGGUUACAAGAGGUUACAGAUAUGAUGGAAAACCUGGGGACUCCCUCAGUAUAGAGUGUCCAGUGAAGUACUGCACGGAAAAGCCAGCCAUGAACUGGUGCAAGAUAGAGGGGAUGCACUGCUUACUUCUGAAAAAUGAGUCAAACAUGCACACAGCUUGGGGAGAAGGGAAAGUGUUUGUUCUGAACUUUGUACCUGUUCAUCAAAACAACAGUGGAUUAUAUCGUUGUCGAGCUACUAUGGGCAGCUUAAGCAGUCAGAGCCAUUCAGUAACAGUUCAUGUUCAAGAAGUGACUGCAAAUGCCCCCACAAAUCCACCAUCAAAGGAAUUUGCAGGUGCCACUAAUGUCACAGAAGCUCCUCAAGGACCUAGCAACAACAAUAAGAAGUGGAUUAUUUAUGCCCUACCAUCUCUGGGGGCAUUGUGUCUCCUCAUCCUUAUCUGCUUAUGCCUGUUGUGUUGUCUGCGGUGGCACCAAGUGAAACCCAAGACAACCCCAGUAACCUCACAGAAGGAAAUGAACAUGGUCAGCAGAUCUACAUGUACUCCAGACCACACCGAUAGGACCACGCAUGACCCCAGUGAAGGAUCUACACUUUACUAUUGCUCCAUGGCUAGCCUGCAGCAGCCAUCGGAUGACAGCACAAUUUAUGAUAAUCACGUCCCUCACUGGAAUGGUAGCAGGGCAGCAACUGGCAACGCCUGUGACAGUGCUGCUGUUGAUUCCUACCAGCCCUCAUAUGAGGGAGAAGAUGUCCUUGUUUAUGCUUCACUAAACCAUUCUAGUAUUAUAGAAAAGCUCCCGAGAAAGGAGCAGGAUGUGGAAAUUGAACUUACAGAGUAUGCCACCGUUUGUGUGAAGAAAUAGCUCUGGCAAUGACAUCUCUUUAACUUGGCCAGCACCAUAACGUUACAUGUCCUACAGUGACUCCAGCUUUACAGCAGGAGCAUAAGUACACCUUCUUCCAAACAAAGAGGAACUCUCAUCAGUAAAAGCAUGCUGAUUUUUAUGAUAUGUGCUAGAAUUCACACUUAAGCGAAGUCCACGUUCAUACUUGGAUAUUAGCAACCACAUCUUUGUUAUCUUCCAUGUGGAUUCAUUUGAAGCUUUCAUAUUCCAGGAACCCCCUGCUCUGAUCAAAGCACUGCCCAGAACAAAGUCAGAGUUUGGACAGGAUCAAUAAAAACUGAAUAAUAAAGAUGAACAGACAUCAUGUUGAUAAGACGUAUUACAGGUGAAUGGAUGGCUCAGCCUGUUCAGAUGGAAGCACAGACUGCAGGUGAACAUGGAAUUCACUUUUCCAUGGAGAGCCAUGACUCGGGAAGCCAAACACCAGCAGUUUGCUGAAUGCUGCUGUUCGCCUUCUUACAUGUAAAAUGGACAGCCACCGCAUCACCUGAUUCUCAAACAACUCUACUACCUUCCUAUUUAGUUCAGGAGACAGCUAGAAAUUGCUCUAAUUUUUAAAAACUUUCUAUGGACUUACUCUGUCCUUCUUCUCUGCCACUUUGUUCCUCCCAACCACACUCUUCUCAUGGCCUUCUCCACAUCCCAUCAUAUCAUCUCAAAACAGUUGGCAAAAAGAGCCUCGUCCUUCAUAGAUCCUGCCAUCUCCUUCCCCUUUCAAAAUCUUAUCUGAAACAUAUUGUGUCCCUGGUUUAUACCAACUGAUUUCACGUUUAACUACAUUGUUUGUCUAUGUAGAGAGCCUGGGAUACAAUUGCAUGAAAGAUAUUAUCAAGACCAAUAUGUAUUGUGCUGCUGAGCUGAUAAACAAACAGGAAAAAUGACUAAAGGUAUAUCUACACAGCAAAGAAAAACUGCUGGCUGGCUCAUGCCAAACAACUCAGGCUAUGGGGCUGUAUCAUUGCUCUGCAGACUUCUGGGUUUAUGCUGGAACCCAAGCUCUGGACUCUCCCACCUUGCAGGGUCCUAGAGUCUGGACUCUAGCCAAAGAGGUCUACACAGUAAUGAAACAGCUGCACAACCUGAGUUGGCUGGCAUCGGCCAGCCACAAGUUUUUGUUGCUGUGCAGACAUACCCUACCUGUCAGUUUAUUUAUUUCCUAUAAGUAUUUUAUUUGUGAACAGGCUGAUUUUUUAUUUAUUCACUUUUCCAUAACUAUUUGAUGAACAGUUUAUGUGGUCAAAUUUCAGCGUACAGGUUGUUCACAAAUUGUUCUUUUAAAGUAUUCAUAAUUGGCUUUCCUGGGACUCUGAUUGGUUAUUUAAGUCACAUGAUACUGCUUUUGCUCGCCGACUAAAAGAUGGAACUUUUUUGAACAGGGUAACAAUGAAUGAUGAGUAAUAAAUGUUCUCACUCAGGCUUGAUCAGCUUUUAGUGGCAAGUAAGUGUGGGUAAGUAGCAUACAAACAGCUUUUCUCCAAACACUGGCACACAAAAGAAGCCAUUCACGUCAAACUUUGUGAAUACAAAGGGGACACUAGAAUGCCAUUUUAAAUUUGAAAGAAUGUUUGCAACAUUGGGUUACACCAUUUGUUCAGCUCUUGCUCUGAUACCAUGCAUCUGGUACUGCAAAAAAUGUACUUAGGAAGAAAAUUACUCAUUGCAAUAUUCAUAUCAACAGCUUAGUGCUUCAACAAUGAGAGUCUUCUAGCUUGGUUAAAAUUCAGACCACAAUUCAAAAGGAAGGAUGUACUACAUCUAUCGUUCACAGGGUGCAAGUAACAUACCAGAUGAUUUGUGCUCAAGUUAAUGGAAAAGAGAAAUGCUUGUAUCUUAUCUCUGUACUAUGUCAGCGAGCACCACAGAUAUUAACAGGUUCUUCAUCAUUCUUUUCGAUUGCUAAUAAAGAAUAUUUAUUAUUCUUA